rnacentral:rRNA from 1 species
UCAAGUUAUUAAGGGUGCAGGGCGGAUGCCUUGGCACUAGGAGCCGAUGAAGGACGUGAUAAGCUGCGAUAAGCUUCGGGGAGUUGCACGUAAACUUUGAUCCGAAGAUUUCCGAAUGAGGAAACUCACUUAGAGUAAUGUCUAAGUAUCAUUAAGUGAAUACAUAGCUUAAUGAGGGGAACUCAGGGAACUGAAACAUCUAAGUACCUGAAGGAAGAGAAAGAAAUUCGAUUCCGUAAGUAGCGGCGAGCGAACGCGGAUUAGCCCAAACCAAUAAAGUUUUCUUUAUUGGGGUUGCGGACAUAUCAUAACGAAGAGGUAUCGUAAUUGAAGAGGUUUGGAAAGACCUACCACAGAAGGUAAUAGUCCUGUAUGUUAAACGAGAAGACUUUAGAUAUGAUCCAGAGUACCACGGGACACGUGAAACCCUGUGGGAAGCAGGAGGGACCACCCUCCAAGGCUAAAUACUACCUAGUGACCGAUAGCGUAUAGUACCGUGAGGGAAAGGUGAAAAGAACCCCGGGAGGGGAGUGAAAUAGAACCUGAAACCCUGCACUUACAAGCUGUGGAAGCACAUUUCUUGUGUGACCGCGUACUUUUUGUAGAACGGGCCAACGAGUUACGUUAAGUAGCAAGGUUAAGCACUUAAGGUGCGGAGCCGUAGCGAAAGCGAGUUUUAACUGAGCGUUCAGUUACUUGACGUAGACCCGAAACCGGGCGACCUACCCAUGAGCAGGAUGAAGCGAAAGUAAAAUUUCGUGGAGGUCCGAACCCACGAGCGUUGAAAAGCUCGGGGAUGACUUGUGGGUAGCGGUGAAAUUCCAAUCGAGCCCGGAGAUAGCUGGUUCUCCCCGAAAUAGCUUUAGGGCUAGCCUCAAGGUGAGAGAUACGGAGGUAGAGCACUGAAUGUCCUAGGGGGUAUUGCACCUACCGAAGACUAUCAAACUCCGAAUGCCGUCAUCUUAUACUUGGGAGUCAGACUGUGGGUGAUAAGAUUCAUAGUCGAAAGGGCAACAGCCCAGAUCGUCAGCUAAGGUCCCUAAAUGUAAGUUAAGUGGUAAAGGAUGUGGGAUUGCACAGACAACCAGGAUGUUGGCUUAGAAGCAGCCACUCAUUCAAAGAGUGCGUAAUAGCUCACUGGUCGAGUGAUCCUGCGCCGAAGAUUUCCGGGGCUAAAACUUACUACCGAAGCUACGGCAUCAGUAAUGAUGGGUAGGGGAGCUUCCCAUACGGGUUGAAGCAUGACCGUAAGGACAUGUGGACAGUAUGGGAGUGAGAAUGUUGGCAUGAGUAGCGAGAUGUGGGUGAGAAUCCCACAGGCCGUAAACCCAAGGUUUCCAGGGGAAGGUUCGUCCGCCCUGGGUUAGUCGGGACCUAAGCUGAGGCCGAAAGGCGUAGGUGAUGGACAACAGGUUGAUAUUCCUGUACUACCGAUAACCAUUUGAGAGAAGGGAUGACACAGUAGGAUAAGCUAAGCACACUGUUGGUUAUGUGUGCCCAAGCAUUGAGGCAGUCAAAGUAGGCAAAUCCGCUUUGAUAAUGCUGGGAUGUGAUGGGGAGCGAAAUUUAGUAGCGAAGUAGCUGAUUUCACACUGUCAAGAAAAGUCUCUAUCGAGGUUAAAGGUACCCGUACCGCAAACCGACACAGGUGGGUGAGGAGAGUAUCCUAAGGCCAGCGAGAGAACUGUUGUUAAGGAACUCGGCAAAAUGACCCCGUAACUUAGGGAUAAGGGGUGCCACCAUCAGGUGGCCGCAGAGAAUAGGCCCAAGCGACUGUUUACCAAAAACAUAGGUUUCUGCUAAGUCGCAAGACGAUGUAUAGGAGCUGACGCCUGCCCGGUGCUGGAAGGUUAAGGGGAUCUGUUAGAGCAAUCGAAGCAGUGAACUUAAGCCCCAGUAAACGGCGGCCGUAACUAUAACGGUCCUAAGGUAGCGAAAUUCCUUGUCGGGUAAGUUCCGACCCGCACGAAAGGCGUAACGAUUUGGGCACUGUCUCAACAACAGACUCGGUGAAAUUGUAAUUCCGGUGAAGAUGCCGGAUACCUGCGACAGGACGGAAAGACCCCAUGGAGCUUUACUGUAGCUUGACAUUGGGUCUUGGUACUACAUGUACAGGAUAGGUGGGAGGCUUUGAAACCAGGACGCCAGUUUUGGCGGAGCCAUCCUUGGGAUACCACCCUUGUAGUACUGGGACUCUAACCAUAGACCAUGAAUCUGGUCUUGGGACACUGUCAGGUGGGCAGUUUGACUGGGGCGGUCGCCUCCCAAAAGGUAACGGAGGCGCUCAAAGGUUCUCUCAGUACGGUCGGAAAUCGUACGUAGAGUGUAAAGGCAAAAGAGAGCUUGAUUGCAAGACAUACAGGUCGAGCAAGGAUGAAAAUCGGACUUAGUGAUCCGGUGGUUCUGCGUGGAAGGGCCAUCGCUCAACGGAUAAAAGCUACCCUGGGGAUAACAGGCUUAUCUCCCCCAAGAGUCCACAUCGACGGGGAGGUUUGGCACCUCGAUGUCGGCUCAUCACAUCCUGGGGCUGUAGUAGGUCCCAAGGGUUGGGCUGUUCGCCCAUUAAAGUGGUACGCGAGCUGGGUUCAGAACGUCGUGAGACAGUUCGGUCCCUAUCCGUCGCAGGCGUAGGAAAUUUGAGAAGACCUGUCCUUAGUACGAGAGGACCGGGAUGGACGUACCUCUGGUGUACCAGUUGUCCUGCCAAGGGCAUGGCUGGGUAGCUAUGUACGGAAUGGAUAAGCGCUGAAAGCAUCUAAGCGCGAAGCCAACUUCAAGAUAAGAUUUCCCACCGCAAGGGUAAGACCCCAGAAAGACUAUCUGGUUGAUAGGUCGAAGGUGUAAGUGCAGCAAUGUAUUUAGCUUAUCGAUACUAAUAGGUCGAGGACUUGACCAA